AUACGUAGGGGGCGAGCGUUGUCCGGAUUUACUGGGCGUAAAGGGUGAGUAGGCGGUAAUAUGUGUCAGAUGUAAAAGGCUAUGGCUUAACCAUAGUUAGCAUUUGAAACUGUAUUACUUGAGUGCAGGAGAGGUAAGUGGAAUUCCUAGUGUAGCGGUGAAAUGCGUAGAUAUUAGGAGGAACACCAGUGGCGAAGGCGACUUACUGGACUGUAACUGACGCUGAGUCACGAAAGCGUGGGUAGAC
rnacentral:rRNA from 1 species